rnacentral:rRNA from 1 species
CACGAAACCGUGUGAGCUAAUUCAGUUUUAAUUUAUGUGGCAUAAUAUUUUCUGAAAUUGAAUUAGGGGUGAUAGGCCCUCAAAAAACGGCGAUAUCUUGAAGUAAGCGAAAAAAAUUUAGUUUUAAGAUAAUUACAAAGUUAUAAGAUUUUGUAAAAUUUUUAAGUAAUAUUACUAUAUAAUGUGGAUAUAAAAGUCUGCCUGAUGAACGUAAAAAUAUUAAGUUAUUAUAAUUAUUAUACUAGUUUACGGUAGUAUAAUUUUUCACAUAAUCAUUAUGUUAAUAUAAGUACUCAACAAGUAUUGAUAGUGAACUCGGCAAUAAAGCUUUCAACUGUUUAUCAAAAACAUAGCUACACGUCGCAUGUGUGGUGUGUUCUGCUCAAUGAUAUUUAAAUAGCCGCAGUACCCUGACUGUGCAAAGGUAGCGUAAUCAUUUGUCUCUUAAUUAGAGUCCUGUAUGAAUGAAUGCAUGGGGGCUUACUUUACCAUUGAUAUAAGUCGAAAUUACUUAAGAGGUGAAAAAACCUCUAUAUAAAUAAUAGACGAGAAGACCCUAGAAAUUUGAAUAAUAGUUUUGUUGGGGCAACAUAAUAGAAAAAUCUAUUAAAUGUACAAGAAAUAAUUUUGUUUGAAAAAAUUACUCUAGGGAUAACAGCAUAAUUUUUAUUAAGUUUGUGACCUCGAUGUUGGAUUAGGGAACUAUAACUUAAAA